rnacentral:tRNA from 1 species
GUCUCAGUAGCAUAGUGGUUAGUGCAUAGCCCCAGAAAGGUUUAGAAUCUCAGGCGGGUUCGAAUCCGGCCUGAGAUU